GCCGGGGUGCCCGAGCGGCUAAGGGGCAGGCCUCGAGAUCCGCUUGAAGUGGGCUGGACAGCCUGUGGGCGAAAGCCCGUGUGGGUUCGAAUCCCACCCCCGGCG
rnacentral:tRNA from 1 species